CAGCCGCCGCGGUAAAACGGAGGGUGCAAGCGUUAAUCGGAAUUACUGGGCGUAAAGCGCACGCAGGCGGUCUGACAAGUCAGAUGUAAAAUCCCCGGGCUUAACCUGGGAACUGCAUUUGAAACUGUCAGGCUGGAGUCUUGUAGAGGGGGGUGGAAUUCCAGGUGUAGCGGUGAAAUGCGUAGAGAUCUGGAGGAAUACCGGUGGCGAAGGCGGCCCCCUGGACAAAGACUGACGCUCAGGUGCGAAAGCGUGGGGAGCAAACAGGAUUAGAUACCCCAGUAGUCCCUGUCUCUUAUAC
rnacentral:rRNA from 1 species